rnacentral:rRNA from 1 species
GAGUUUGAUCAUGGCUCAGAUUGAACGCUGGCGGCAGGCCUAACACAUGCAAGUCGAACGGUAACAGGAAACAGCUUGCUGUUUCGCUGACGAGUGGCGGACGGGUGAGUAAUGUCUGGGAAACUGCCUGAUGGAGGGGGAUAACUACUGGAAACGGUAGCUAAUACCGCAUAACGUCGCAAGACCAAAGAGGGGGACCUUCGGGCCUCUUGCCAUCAGAUGUGCCCAGAUGGGAUUAGCUAGUAGGUGGGGUAACGGCUCACCUAGGCGACGAUCCCUAGCUGGUCUGAGAGGAUGACCAGCCACACUGGAACUGAGACACGGUCCAGACUCCUACGGGAGGCAGCAGUGGGGAAUAUUGCACAAUGGGCGCAAGCCUGAUGCAGCCAUGCCGCGUGUAUGAAGAAGGCCUUCGGGUUGUAAAGUACUUUCAGCGGGGAGGAAGGGAGUAAGUUAAUACCUUUGCUCAUUGACGUUACCCGCAGAAGAAGCACCGGCUAACUCCGUGCCAGCAGCCGCGGUAAUACGGAGGGUGCAAGCGUUAAUCGGAAUUACUGGGCGUAAAGCGCACGCAGGCGGUUUGUUAAGUCAGAUGUGAAAUCCCCGGGCUCAACCUGGGAACUGCAUCCGAUACUGGCAAGCUUGAGUCUCGUAGAGGGGGGUAGAAUUCCAGGUGUAGCGGUGAAAUGCGUAGAGAUCUGGAGGAAUACCGGUGGCGAAGGCGGCCCCCUGGACGAAGACUGACGCUCAGGUGCGAAAGCGUGGGGAGCAAACAGGAUUAGAUACCCUGGUAGUCCACGCCGUAAACGAUGUCGACUUGGAGGUUGUGCCCUUGAGGCGUGGCUUCCGGAGCUAACGCGUUAAGUUGACCGCCUGGGGAGUACGGCCGCAAGGUUAAAACUCAAAUGAAUUGACGGGGGCCCGCACAAGCGGUGGAGCAUGUGGUUUAAUUCGAUGCAACGCGAAGAACCUUACCUGGUCUUGACAUCCACGGAAGUUUUCAGAGAUGAGAAUGUGCCUUCGGGAACCGUGAGACAGGUGCUGCAUGGCUGUCGUCAGCUCGUGUUGUGAAAUGUUGGGUUAAGUCCCGCAACGAGCGCAACCCUUAUCCUUUGUUGCCAGCGGUCCGGCCGGGAACUCAAAGGAGACUGCCAGUGAUAAACUGGAGGAAGGUGGGGAUGACGUCAAGUCAUCAUGGCCCUUACGACCAGGGCUACACACGUGCUACAAUGGCGCAUACAAAGGGUUGCCAAGCCGCGAGGUGGAGCUAAUCCCAUAAAACCGAUCGUAGUCCGGAUCGCAGUCUGCAACUCGUCUCCAUGAAGUCGGAAUCGCUAGUAAUCGUGGAUCAGAAUGCCACGGUGAAUACGUUCCCGGGCCUUGUACACACCGCCCGUC